rnacentral:tRNA from 1 species
GGGCUAGUGGCCUAAUAGAUAAAGCGCUUGACAUCUAAUCAAGUGAUUGUGGGUUAGAGUCCCACCGGGUGUG